rnacentral:rRNA from 1 species
CUUCGGGUUGAGUGGCGGACGGGUGAGUAACGCGUGAGAAUCUGCCUUGGGGUCGGGGACAACCACUGGAAAUGGUGGCUAAUACCGGAUAAGCCUUUGGGUAAAAGAUUUAUUGUCCCAAGAGGAGCUCGUGUCUGAUUAGCUAGUUGGUGAGGUAAAAGCUCACCAAGGCAGCGAUCAGUAGCUGGUCUGAGAGGACGAUCAGCCACACUGGGACUGAUACACGGCCCAGACUCCUACGGGAGGCAGCAGUGGGGAAUUUUCCGCAAUGUGCGAAAGCCUGACGGAGCAAGACCGCGUGAGGGAGGAAGGCUCUUGGGUUGUAAACCUCUUUUCUCAGGGAAGAAGCUCUGACGGUACCUGAGGAAUCAGCCUCGGCUAACUCCGUGCCAGCAGCCGCGGUAAUACGGAGGAGGCAAGCGUUAUCCGGAAUUAUUGGGCGUAAAGCGUCCGCAGGUGGCGAUUCAAGUCUGCUGUCAAAGCACGGGGCUUAACUCCGUUAAGGCAGUGGAAACUGAAUAGCUAGAGUGCCGUACGGGUAGAGGGAAUUCCCGGUGUAGCGGUGAAAUGCGUAGAGAUCGGGAAGAACAUCGGUGGCGAAAGCGCUCUACUGGACGGCAACUGACACUCAGGGACGAAAGCUAGGGGAGCGAAUGGGAUUAGAUACCCCAGUAGUCCUAGCUGUAAACGAUGGAUAC